UUCUUUCUCUUUCUAGUUUAUCUCUAACCCUAACUCACAGCGGCGGCCUUCCCUCUCCAUCACCGGAUCCCUUUCUCUAUCUGUGCAAAAGAUCGAUUGCUGAAUCACUCUCUCUAUGUCACUCUUUCUAUGCAACAAGGACAUCGAAGAGAGCUCAGGUACCGAUCUAUUUAAUGUUAAUGAUGUAUGGUCCUACGCUACAACUUAUUGCACAGGUCACUGAAAGGAAAUUAGUUGUAAGAGAUGCAAACAGGUUCCACUGUUUUGAAAGGGGAAUAUGUUCUUGUGGGGAUUACUGGUGACAAUGUUAAGAAUAGCAAAGAGGCCAGGCAGGUGUCUAUUGAGUAGCCAUUGAACUUAGAUUAUGUCCAGGUCAUAGAUAUCCAGGAGCAUGCAUCCCAUGAACAUACUGUUGGACACUUAGCAUAUUUUUGUUGGCUUAAAUUGGCAAUACAACUCACUCAUAAGCAUAAAUUAUGACAUUUCUUUCACAUAAAUAUUCUCUACAAUAUGGCCAAAACUUUUGAGUUUCUCCUGGGGACAGUUUGCUUAUUCUUCAAAAAUUUCUCACUUCUGAAUUUGUGGAACGUAACAGCAGUAGAUGCGAUAUAGGAGGAGGGGAUCCCGAAGGAUCCAAUAUUCGCUCUUCUAUUGAGUGUUCUGAAGAAAAUUUAAGCAGCCAAAAUCUGUGGGCGAGGAAAUCACUGUAGAUACAAAAUCACUUUUAUUGGAUGGUUUUCUUGUUGAUUAUCGCUAUAAAAUGGAAAACUUGUGGAAGUCUUGCAACAUUGAACAAUUGCAGAUACUACAAUGCUGUAUCAGUAUUAUUUAUCUUCUUUCAUGUGGUCAAUUUAGGAGCCCCAUUAUCAAGCAAAUGUGGAUGGUUGCAGCAUCCAGUAUCAUGGUCGAGAUCUGGUUCCUAAGAAAUAAGAUGGUUAUUGAAAACGUGGUUCUCUCAUUUUGUAAGAUAAAGAACAGAGUGACUAUACAUUACAUAUAUUCUCUUCUUGCUUAUUACCUAUAAAUUGCUACUAUAGAACCUAUCAACACUUUCCACGAAAAUUAUAAUACAGACACACCACCUAUUUGGCUAAGUUAUCACCAUAGGAACCACUAAAAUUCACUUGAUCUAGAUCUAGAUCUAGGUUUAAUCUGUCAAAUUACCUGACACAUGUUCUUCGACUUUGCGCUAAUGUACUGACUUGACCUUAACUUCAUACUGCUUUGUUAAUUAUUGAGUUGACAUUAUGUUAAAGAGGGAAUAUGAAGUAUACUUUAGUAACCUAUUUUGUUCUACUGUGUAUUAAGAACUUAACAAAGUCAUUGUAUUGAUGUUGAUUUGCUUUGCAGGAAUGACGUUCUUUGUCGUAUGUGAACCAGAGACACAACACAUGGAUGCUCUACUUGAUAUCAUUUAUGAAGUAUUGGCCAAGUUCAUCAUCAUCGAAAUCAGAAUUUCAUCCUUUUUUUGUGUAAUUUUAAACCUAGUGGAUACAAUGAAUGAAUACCUUUUGGAGAACUUACUCUAUACUGUAGUAGGAGGAAUCCGACCCUCUGUGUUUGAAGUCUUAACGCUUUUGAGUUUUUGUUCAAUUGUGAUAUACAGGUCUGUUUUGUCUAGAUCCAAUUGAAUUUAAGUUAGUGAUCAAAGACAUAAAUGGUGAAGUCUGGCAGGUGCUGAUUGUAAGAAAGGUGGUUAGUGUGGAUCAGUAAUGAUAAAGAGUGGUUCAACAGUCAUUGACUCAUUGUUGGGUUCUAUCCUGUCAAAUAUGAUGUUAGUGCUUGGAUGCGCCUUCUUCACUGGAGGUCUACUAGUGCACAAUAAAGUACAAACCUUUGAUAGGAAGGUGCAGUGGUGAAUUCACUCCUGAUGGCUGUCAAGGGUAUAAUGUUCCCAGCUGUGCUUCACAUCACACAGAUAUCCACUUCAAGGGUAUAAUGUUCCCAGCAUAACUAAACAUUUUGUGAAUGUAUGAAUUGCAAUUACAAAAAGAAAAGCCUGCAAUUGGGUUUCAGGUUUAGUUAUAUUGUAGGCUUGUACACUGGAAGUCCGAAUCCAGGAUGAGGACCAGUAUUAUAGGCCUGUAAACUGGAAGCCCAAGUCUAUGAUCAUGACCUGAGCUGUACUUUUUUUUAAUUGUAACGAAAGAAUUGUCACGGGAAAACCGUAACAAACAUUGUUAGUGAAAUA